UGCAGAGGCCUCGAGCGUUAGGCGGAAUCACUGGGCUUAAAGCGUGUGUAGGCGGAUUGGUAAGUACCUUGUGAAAUCCCACAGCUUAACUGUGGAACUGCUCGGUAUACUGCUGGUCUUGAGCCACUCAGGGGCUACCGGAACAAAUGGUGGAGCGGUGAAAUGCGUAGAUAUCAUUUGGAACGCCAAUGGUGAAAACAGGUAGCUGGGGGUGUGCUGACGCUGAGACACGAAAGCCAGGGGAGCAAACGGG
rnacentral:rRNA from 1 species